UGGAAGUGGACCUCAGCCUCCUUUGCCUCCAAGGGGGAGCCAGAAGCCCAGAGAGGGCAAGGGACUUGCCUAGGGUCCCACAGCCAGGGCUUGGGGUCAUCAGAGGGGCUCUGUAGACACCUAGAACCCCUGGCUGGGCUUUGGAACUGUCACCAAAGCUUGAUUUGAAUUCAUUUUUUAAAAACAGCUUUUUGCCUCAAGGCUUUCUUGAUACCACGUGGCUCAGACAAGCUGCAGAAAUAGACUGGGCGCUGGGGUACCUCCCAGCAGCCCCGCAGCCCUCACCAACACCCCGGGCAGGGAGUGUGUCUAGCACAAUUGUCACACACUUACCGUUGCAAGUGACUUCAGACUAAGGACCUGUCAGCACCCUGAACUGAGAAAUUUAUGCUGAUAAAACACCCCUUUAUCAGUUUCACAUGUUGGCCUUUUGGAUAUGAUUGUGGCUGAAAAAGAGGUUUUACUGGAAAAGUCCAUUUGAAAAUGGCAGCCUUGACUCCCUCCUCACAGGUGCCCUGGGAGGCUGGGGAAGGGCAAGAAUCCUCUUCUAGAAAAUGGGAACACUAAGGUCAGAGGGUAGGGUGACGUGCGUAGUGGCUGGAAUCUAGGGUGCUUCCGUCUUCCGGCGCCAUGAGAAGGGAGACAGACUAUUUUGCCCAGCCCAGCCCCACCUAGAGUGGGUGGUCUAAGAUACCCCCAUGGGCUGCAGUGCCCGCUGAGGAUAAAUCCUUAGAAUCUCCAUUUCUUGACAGUUCACCUCAGUGUAACACACACUCUGGACCCAGAUAGUUUGAAACCUUCCUGUGCCAUUUCUUAGCUGUGUGACCUUGGAUAAGUCACUUCACCUCUCUGCGCCUCAGUUUGCUCACCUGUAAAAUGGGGAUAAUAAUAGGAUGCACUUCACAGGGAGGGUUGUGGGAAAGACUGCUUGAGAAACUGCCUGAAAAGCACUUAGCACAAGGCUGGACACUUUGUGAGCACCCAACCAACGGUAGAGUUUAUUAUCAUUAUUAUUCUCCCUGAGGAAGCACUCACUGAAUCUUUACCCUGACAGCCCUGCUUGGGUCCUGGGGAUUGGACAUGGGGCUUCUGCCCCCAAGUGGCUCAGAAGUCCAGAGAGACAAGAGGCAGCGCUGAGGGAAAGGCCACUUCUGAUGGGGCAUCCAUCCGGGAAGGCCUCCAGGAAGAAGUGGCCUUGAAGCUGGGCCUAGAAGGAUGGCCUCUUCAGACUGUCUGGGCAGGGCCGUCAGGAGUUGGGAGAUGGCUGACUUAGCUUGCUUGUCUGGGAGAAAGAACUGCGGAGAAACCUCCUGGCCAGCCUGGGGUGGUUGUGUGGAGAGAAGCCAGAAUCAGCUCAGGAACUCCAAAAACCUCAGCAGCUCCUUUGCCUUCUGCCCCUAUCCACCCACCGCCGUUUCCCCUGGAGGUCACUCGAGCCAAAAUACCAAGAGCCAGGCGGCCGGGCAGAUGGCCAUUCCCAGGAAAGCAGGAGCCGAGAAGAGGGAACCUGUGCCCCCUUCCCACUCCCACAACCCAGCUGUGUCAGCAGAAAGUCCACCCAGGCUGGGUUCGAAUCCCACUUACUGUGUGAUCUCAGCCAAGUCACUUCAUUUCUUUGAACCUCAGUUUUCUCUUCUGUAAAAUGGGCAUAAAGCUACCUUAAAGGGCUGUUGUGAGGAUGUACUGACCAGAUGUAUAAAGCAUCCGGCACACAUUAAGUGCUUAAUAAUUGUCUCUUUGGAGACGGGAAAAGAGCCAGGCUGACUUUCCACAUGAGGAAGUGAGGAUGCUGGAGACUGGCCCCUCCAACUUAAUCCCUGGCCCAUCACCCUCAGGAAGUCCACAGCCUCCUCAACCGGCAGGGCUGGCAGAUGAGGAAACCGAGGUGCAGAGUCAAGCCAGGCUUGUGAAAAGCAUGCAGAGGACCAGAGGAGGUGGGAUGCAAACCCAGGCUCAAUGGAUGGACUCGACGUCGAGGCCUCCCCAGAACUCUUCAUCGCAGACACCUUGCUCUGGCUGAACCCCAGUUCUCCCCACUCCCACCCCCUCACGCCUACACAUCUGCUCCCUCCCCAGAGAAGUUCAGGCCGUGGGAGCCAGCCCUCCCUUCCUUCCAGGCUUCUGUGGAUGCCCUGGACCACGUCCACCAAUAGCCACCGGAGGACAGGCAGAGCCGGGGCUGAGUCAGCUGGUGCCCCAUGGCACAGCCUGGCACAAGAGCUCCUAGGAGGCUUUGCUGAGAGGACGAAUCAGGAGGCUGGACACGAAGUCACCACCCAGGGACGUGCCUGCAGCGCCACCUGGUGGUGACGUGGCACUCCUGCUACUCUCGGCCCUUGUCCUGCCAUCCCAUCCCUGUGGGUUCGGUAGAUGGUUUAGUGAGCAGCUACUACGUGCCAAGCAAUGGGUGGCCAGGCACUGAGAAUGGGACCAGUCCGGGAAGAUCUGGGGGACAGCACUCCAGGCAGACAAGUGCUCUGAGACCGGAAGGAGUUGGUCGUGACCCAGAAGGAGCAAAAUGGUCAAAGUGGCUAGACCCGGGUGCCAGGGGUGGAGACGGAGGGGGAAGUGGGCCGGGUUGGUGGCCAGAUCUCAUGGGGCUUUUUAGGCUGUGGUGAGGAUAUGGUCGAUGGUUUAAAGGCUGCUGUGGGGAGGACAGACUGCAGGGUGAAAACAGGAAAUCAGGCAGAAUAUGAUGGUGGCUCAGACACCAGGGGGUGGCGGGGAGGGUGGGAAGAAGUGCCUGGAUUCUAGAACUGAUAGGAUUUGCAGACGGAUUGGAUGGGGCUGUGAGAUAAAGUGGGGAAUGAAGGACAACCCCAAGGCUUUUGUCUGAGCACCUGAGGAAAGGUGAGGUCCUUUACUUUGAAGAGAAGACGGAGGAGAAGCAGGUUUGCGGGGGGGACCAGGUGCCUUCGGGCAGUUUAACGUGGAGACGCCUGUAAUAUGUCCAAGGGGAGGAGCCGGGGAAGUGGGUGGGUCUGUGCCUCUGGAGCUCAGGGGGAGGAUGGGGCUGGAGGUCCACAUGUGAAGUUGCCAGGGUACAGAUGGCAGCCCACGCCGUGAGGAUGGGUGAAUCACCUAGGAGCAGGCACAGGACAGAGCAGGGGGCCUCUGACCUUUAGAGUUUGAGGAGACGAGGAGGAGCAGCCAGGAGGUAGGAGAGCCGGAGCCAGUGGAGAGAGUGUUUCAAGAAGGUGGGAGUGAGCAACUGGGUCCGAGGCUGCUCAGAUGGGAGAGAGAGGAGCCUGGGCAUCGCCCCAAGCCGACUUGGCAAUGCCACGGCGGUCAUCGGGGACCUUGAGAAGCGGGGUUCCAGCGGAGGGUGAACGUCUGAUUGGAGGGAAAGUGGCGGCUGCGAACGGAGACCUCACUUCUGAGGAGUUUCACUAUAAAGGGAGCAGAAGAAUGGCGGGAGCCGGAGGGUGAUAGCGGCCUGGGAGGUUUGCUAUUUAAUUUUGGGGCUGGAGCAGAUUUUACAGCACGUUUGUGGACUCAUGGAAUUAUCUCGUGGAGAGGGAGGGUUGGAGCGCAUGGGAGAGAGAAUCGCAGGCGUGGGGUGACAGGAUGGGUGCUCAUGGGAGGGGACUGGGUUACUGGGGGCAGAGAUACUCUGUCCCUAACAGGAGGGAAAGCAGAACAGCAUGUGGCUGAGGGGGGGCCCUAGAGUUGGGCUGCCUGGGUCCAUAUCCUGGCUCUACCACUGAUAAUCCCUGGGACUAGAACAAGUCAUUCCUGUUUUCUGAGCCUCAAUUUUCUUACCUGUAAAACAUGCGUGGUGAUGAGAGUAAAAGCUGGCAGUGUGGCACUUGCUCCCAGCCGUGAGCUAUUCUAAGCAUCUCACACAUUUUAAUUCAGUGGAUUCUCACUUCAAGAGUGAAGGAGCAGGGCCAGCCCAGUAACCAGUAGUUGAGUUCGGCGCACUCUGCUUCAGCAGCCCAGGCUUGUGGGUUAAGUUCCCAGGCACAGACCUACACCACUUGUCAGCUAUGCUGCGGCAGUGUCCC